rnacentral:sRNA from 1 species
ACUCCUGGACUCUCUCUGAGGUGCCUCUUCUCCUGGUAGAUGAUCUUCCCUGCGCUGGUGUUCUUGGGCCUGAAGAACAAUGACUGCUGUGGGUGCUGCGGCAACAAGGGCUGCGGGAAGCGAUUUGCGAUGUUCACCUCCACGAUAUUUGCUGUGGUUGGAUUCUUGGGAGCUGGAUACUCGUUUAUCAUCUCAGCCAUUUCAAUCAACAAGGGUCCUAAAUGCCUCAUGGCCAAUAGUACAUGGGGCUACCCCUUCCACGACGGGGAUUAUCUCAAUGAUGAGGCCUUAUGGAACAAGUGCCGAGAGCCUCUCAAUGUGGUUCCCUGGAAUCUGACCCUCUUCUCCAUCCUGCUGGUCGUAGGAGGAAUCCAGAUGGUUCUCUGCGCCAUCCAGGUGGUCAAUGGCCUCCUGGGGACCCUCUGUGGAGACUGCCAGUGUUGUGGCUGCUGUGGG